rnacentral:lncRNA from 1 species
GUGCUCUUCACUGCUUUAGGGUACUGCUAAUGGCUAAGUGUGAGUCCAUUUAUCCGUCAGAUUGUGGAACCGUGGAACCCCUUGACCGCCGGCGGGGGUCCUCCUUUUAUACUGAACGGGAUACCACAGGUGCCGCGGCACAUGCAUUACAAGUGUCGAUCAGGGAGACAUGCAACUCCCCCUCGGUGAGCUGGUGGCGUGCAUGGGUGACAACCCGCUGCUAGGGGUCUAAGACCCUAGAGGUAGGAUUGGACAUCCACUUUUCACCUGAUUUGGACGGGUAACACCCCUCCUGUCGGCUCAUUUAAUGCGCCGUGCGCCUCACUCCUCACCCUAGUGAGACUGCGCACCCGACGCCCGUCACACGCCCGCGUGGCGCUGUUGCUCUGUCCGCUGAGCCCCACCUUUGUGGCAGGACCUGCGCCCGGGAACUCCUCCUCCCGGCAAGUCACUCCCCGGGAAGCGCCCAGGCCAAACACACCCGGGAACCCCCCUCCCGGGAUGCGGCUUCCCGGGAGGUGUCCAGGCGGGAAUAUUUCCCGAAGCCCCACUAGCCCUUCCUGGCUGGUAGCUUGCCGGGUUGCUCGUGGCUGCUGCCCGGGACGAGAUCCUCCCGGGAACUCAGAGACGGGGCCCACGUGUCGCGCAACGGUGGUACUCCUGGUGCCACGGGUGCGACAGUAGGCCCCGGGCGUGGGCCGGCAUCACCUGUUCCCGGACGAGCCUUCCCUAGGUCAGUUGCCGGGCUACGCCCACAACCGACGCGUGGGCCCUGAUUCACCUCGGGCCUGCGUCCCUUCGUUGCCCUAAUACCACGCCGUUACAGACGGAGUAAUAGGCGCGUGAUUUCCACCCUAACCUCCCCCUUAAACAGGGAAGUUAAGGCCACUCCGCGCAUUACUCCUUUUGAUUAGGAGUUAUCCCCGCGCACCCGUAGGGUACGGAACCGGCCGUUACCAAACGGCCGGGUGUUAUAAAGAUUUUACCACUGCCCAAAAGGGGAAAGCACUCUAUUCCCCACGGCCUUUGUCUUCACCCUCCUUUCGCACCUCGCAUCCAAUUGUUCUUGCUAGCUUCCACCUUCGUCCCCCAUGGCGCCCCCCACCACCAGGAAGGGAAAAGAGGUGCAGGUCUCAAAGAGAGCGGCAGCCAGCAAGAGCGAGGCGGCAACCAAGGCAGCCGCCGUCAAAGACCAGAAGAAGCAGGAGAUGCGGGCCACGCUCGCCUUCUACCGGCCUGGCUACAACGGCGAGGCGCUGGACUACAUCCGACAUGCUGUCGCCUCCAAGUUCAACGAGCACGGGAAGACCCUGAUCUUCCCAGCGGACGCCGAGCACCAGGACAAGGACUUCUGGGUGUUCAGGCGCUUCAUCCUCACCGGGCUGGUGCCGCCGUUCUCGCCCCCCACGCACUGAUGGAGUCGUACCAGCUGCAGGUGGCACAGCUCCACCCCACAUUGCUGUUCCUCCUCGCUACCUUUCAAUUCCUCUGUGAAGCGUUCAUGGGGAUGAUGCCGUCGGUGGCGCUCUUCCGCCACUAUUUCUACCCCCGGAUUGACAACACGAAAGCGAUGUCGUCGGGGGUGGUAUUUCGCGCCCGCGACCAGAUGAAGUCCGAGUUCAUCGUCCGGUCGGGAAAGAAGAUUGAGAAGGAGUGGCGGGGUGACUGGUGCUGGGUCAGAGUGGAAGACCCCCAAGAGUUCAUCUUCUCGCCCACAGAGUUGCCGCAACCCCACAGCGGCAGGCAAGACAGGUAUCACCGCGACGCCGAUCUCCUCCCCAUCAUGGAGAAGAUCAAGGCGCUGCGGCUAGCGGGGCUCACCGACGUGGACGUGGCGCGUACCUUCGCCAACCGGCGUAUUGCGCCGCUCCAACUACGCUCCCGGCCCACGUGGAUGUACACGGGUCCCGGGGAUAGAACACGCCUCCACCAGGACGGCAUGGAUUUGGAAACCCUCAAGACGUGGGUGAGGGGAAUCUCCGGCGAAACCUUCGAAUCAACGAGGUUCCCGCCGGGGGUCUUCUCCCUCCAUGCCGGUGUUGCGGCGCUCAACAACAUCGUCACCGCCUUCCCGCCCUGCAACGAGUGGGGGUUGAUGGAUGAUAGCCCCACUCGGGCCCUGCACGCUCCCCUACCAGCACCUCGCGGGAAGCAGGUGCUCGAGGAGAGUGGGGGCGAAUCCAAGACCAGCUGGCCCUCCCUCCAGUCGCUGGACGAAGAGGUGGGCCAGCCGGCGGCGUCCCAGGAAGUCAUCCCAGUGGACAACGAUGACGACGACAGUGACGACGCGCCCUGAUCGUGCGAAGAUCAAGGGCGUACGCUGCGGCUGCGGCCAUCUCCUCGGGUGCCACGGCGGCAUCUUCCCUAGCGGCGAUAUCCGCCCUGGCAACGGCCGCCCGCCGGUACCUCGGCCGCGACCACGUCCGCAGGGGCCGCCGGAGCCUCGGGGCGGCGACAUCCGCCCCAGUGGCGGCUGCCAGCGUCGCGGCGGCAGCUGCUCCGGUGGCGUCUGCUGAUGCCCCGUCGGGGACCAUCCGCGAUCCGGCAAUGGAUUCAGCAGCAACAGCCGCCGGGGAUGCGCCGGCCGCCUCCCUGGGGUCGGCCCCUGACGCCGUGGCAGCCCCGCGGGCCCCUACGGCGCCGCCCGCUCGGGGGGUCUUCCGGGGCUUCGCGCUCCGGCGCAACCCCCCGAGGACCAACUCGUCGGCGAGCACCAGCAAGAGGGGGAGGAGUGACUCCCCGCCCGCUACGCCGAGCAAGAGGGCGAGCGCGGACGCCGGCGGCGCCGCUGACCCGACCAUCACAGGGGCUAGUGGCGCUGUCAUCGCGCCCGCCGACAACCCAGCUCCAACGGGGGCGGGGCCUGUGACUGGUACGGCUCCUUCGCUCCUCCUCUGCUGCAUUUUUUAGUUGUUAGUUAACCAUACAAACAUACCUUCUUUUUCAGCAAGCAGCAGCUCACCCGUGGCAGGCCUCUCGGAAGCUCCCGCCGGCACGAGUGAGGCGGCGGAAGCCCGCCUCGCAAGUCCACCUGCCCUGCAAGGUAAUCGCUCUGGCUACCCUUGUCCGCUCUCGAUAACUCUUUUACUUGUCCAUCGUCACAUUCUUUGUUGCUGCAGGCCCAAACGCGCCCGUAUCGAGAGCGGACGCAAACAAGGUUGAUCUCGACUCCGAUGUCGAGAUCACGGGGGCGGUAGAGGAUCCGGCGUCAGCUCCCGCACCAGGCCCUGUCGCACCGGCGACAGCGGCAGUGGUGGCCACCGUCACCACCGAGACGGGGCUUGGCGACGCGCCAGGAGUUGCGGAUGCAGCUGGCGCGGACUCACCUGCCACCCAGCAGGGAAUGGCCUCUGCCAAGGGCAAGGAGGCUUCUCCAGCCCCGGGGUCCCCGGGCGUGGGUGAAGGGGGAGCCGUGGAGAGGGAACGGCAAGAGCUCUCCCGGCUGCGCGAGGAGACGCGCCUCGCCAGGGAGAAGGUGCGUCUAGCCCGGCAAGCCCUGGAGGACGCCGAGGAACCGGUCGUCCCGGAGGCCGAACUCCACCAGCAGCUGGAGGUCCAGAGCACGAAGCUUCAGGGAGAGCUGGACUCGCUGGCGGCAACCCUCGAGGCGACCAAGAAGGAGCACGCCGGGGUGCUCGCGGCGGCACAGGCCCGGCUAGACGAGAAGAGCGACCUGAUCGCCAGCUACUGCGGCGAGAUUCAAGGCCUUCGCGUCAAGCUGGAGGUGCAGGUCAAGGCCACCGAGGACACGGUGGGAGCUGCGGCCUGGAACGAGAUCCAGCUUGGCUCCGUCAAGGACAGAGCGGUUAGGCUUGAGACCGAACUGGCCGCUAUUCGGGAGGAGCUCGCCAAGGCCGGCAACUACAUUGCGGUCAAGACCGUGGAGCUUGCGGCACUGGAAGACAACCUCCGCAAGGCCAAGAAGGCCAUGCACAACGCUUCGCUCCCUCACGGCACGCUGAUCAGGCAGCGGCAAUUAGAAACCGAGAAGCUGGUGAAGAUCGCCCAGGCAUUGCGCGACUUGUUGCCCCGAUUCGAGCUGCAGGCCGCGACGGUGGACGGCUCGGACGUCUCCACCUUGAUCCCUUCUUCUCCCACCUGGUGGGGAAGCUUGGGGCUCUCGAUGUCUGGAUCGCCCAGUACGGUGCCAACGAAGUCGCCAACUGCGCCCCGGAGGUUGCCGGGACAAUCCUCCUGAGGACACACCUCCGGGACCCGGGGUUUCCCUUCGAGUCCCUGCUGGACGCCUGGUCGGACAGCGAGGACGAGCCCACGCACACCCAAGCGGUGCGCGGGUUCGUCGACGAGGUGGUCGAGCGGAUAUAGCGGAAGCCGGACCCCGAGCCGAAGAUGCCGGCAACUAGUUGCCGCAGCCCCUAGCCGUCCUUGCUGCUUUCCGAUGUAUCUCCUUUUGCUUGCUUUUUCCUCCAAGUGUGGCGUUUGGCGCCGUUGGAACAAUUAUUUUGUAAUUAGCUUAUGUAAUCGCUCAACACUUACUUAAUCAAGCUCUUUAAUUCGCUCAAUUCUUGUUCCUUGUUCCCGGUGCUGCCUCGCGGGGCGACUCCCCUAGCCUUUGCGUGUUUUGCCUUGUGUUACCGGGGACUCACGCGCCUCACCCUUGACCAGACCAGGGACCCGGGACGGACCCGUAGUGCCGACCUGGGGUCAAGUGGUAGCGGGGAGCCACUCCACUUGCGGGGUAACUACUCCAAGCCGUGCCCUUCCGGGACGGACCCGGGAAGCCACACGGGCAGCGCACUCCCCCCGCAAGCAUCCUUCUAACACUCCAGCUACGCGCAAGGUUCGGGGCCACACCUGGCGAGACAGCGUUCAAUUACGUUCAAUUCUUAGUGGGUUCGUCAUUUAGGUGUCAGUACUUAGCUUUUCGUUCAGUCUUGCGUCCGAAGCGUUCACUGGAGGCGCACUCCUAGCUCGUUAUCCCUGCAAAGUGCCUGACAAAGGGAAGUAGCAGAGACGCCGCGGCAACCCUCGCCCUUCUCCGAGGGGUGCAGCAGGGACACCAUGACUUCCUCGGCACCACCGCUGACCGCGGGCGACGAGGACGUCACGGCGUCCCCACAGCGGCCCUCGCUGCUUGGAACAAACCCGUCUGGGGGCUGCAGAAGGGACAUCGUGGCUUCCUCGCCGCCACCGCCGAAAGCGGGCGGCAAGGAUGCCACAAUGUUCCCGCAGCAGCCCUCGCUGCCUGAGAGCAAAACUGCUCGAGGGCCGUGGCAGGGACGCGGUGAUGGGCCGGAACGGACGGCGAACGCCGGCACCGGCGCCAUCACAGCGUCCUCGCAACGACCUGCGCCUAUAGAGGGGCUCUCUUAGGGGAAUACGGCAGGGACACUAUGAUGGUGCACCCGUUGGUAGGAGGCACCGAUGGCAUGCACCACCAUAGUGUCUCCGCGGCAGCCCUUGCUCCUUGCGGAGGUGUCCUCUGGAGGGAUGCGGCAGGGGCACUGCGGUAGUGCACCCGUCGGCGCCGGGCGCCGAUGGAAUGCACCACCACAGUGCCUCCGCGGCAGCCCUCUCCCAGGAGCCGCUCACUUGAGGAGGCACGGCAAGGGCACGGUGGCAGUGCACCCGUCGACGCGGGGCGCUGAUGGCAUGCACCACCACCGUGUCUCUGCGACGCCCCUCGGAGCGGGCUCGAUGGAACGAUGCGGCAAGGGCGUGAUGGCAGUGCACCCGUCGGCGCUAGGCACUGAUGGUAUGCACCCCCAUCGUGCCUCCACGGCACCGCCCGCCUUAACAGCCCCUUUCUCAGCUUCGCUCUGAGCCGUUCCAUGGCUGGGGCGCGCCUUUUAUAGGCGCGGGGGAGGAGCUUGCCACCGCGCGCGACGGAUCAGCGCAGCACCCGUGGCAUCCCUUCCUUUGAAAUGUGGUACAGUCUUCGCCACCCUGCAUGCCAAGUUGCUGUGACACACGUGGCGGCGCCCUCCCGAGUCAGGAGCCUCGGAGUGCGGCGAGUCCCUCAUGGUGCGGUCGUUCCGCACCUCAAGGCGCUGCUGCAUGCGGCGACCCGUGGGCAGCCCACGAGUAAUACAGUGCGCAAGAUUCCACUCUUUUCUGCAGAUUAGAUUCUUGCCAGGCCCGAGGUGCUGCAAUUUUUUUUCGAAAUUCACGAAAACACGCGAAAACACAGAAAGCAACACGAGUGAUCUCCUGCCUCCCAGCCCCCGGGCACGGAAGGGUUGAUGCCAAACUUGGAUGCGAGCAUUCUAUUUCCCAGCCGGGGUGCAUGUUGCGCGGAGCCUAGCAACUGCGUGUCCCGUGAUGCACAUUGCGGGUAACCCGGCAACUGCAUGUCCCAUGAUGCACGUCGUGGUUAACCCAGCGACUGCAUGCCCCGUGGCGGAGUGACCCGACAACGGGGUUUUCGCUUUCGAGGCUCCAGCAGCCCCCUGCUCACAACCAAGUAUGGAAAGACACUUUCGUGCACCAAAAGCAGGAGACUGAAGAAGGGGGAAACACACAAAUAAGCAAGGCAACUUUAAAGUUCAGGAACGAAACACUUAUCUUUAUUCACAAUAACUAGUGGUUUACACACGGGGGCUGCCCGGCUACGCUAGUUCGAGAGGUAUGCAUCAGCGGCAUCACCUGAGGGUCGGGCUCCGCCGCUUCACGGGUAGAACUUGCGCAAGUGCUCAAUAUUCCAACUAUUUGGCACUGGCAAGCCAUCUUCGGUUUCCAGCCGGAUAGCCCCCGGUCUGGUCACCUGCACUACCCGGAAGGGGCCAUCCCAUUUCAGAGUCAACUUGUUCCCGGCCUUCAUUCCUUGUAUCUGGCGCAGGACAAGGUCUCCGUUCUCGAGCCCCCGGGGACGGACUCGCUUGUCGUGGUAACGACGGAAUCCCUGCUGGUAGCGCGUGGCUCGCACAGCAGCCCGGCAUCGAAGCUCUUCGAUGAAGUUGAGAUCGUCCACCCUUUGCUCGUGUUGGCUGGUGUUGCCGUACGCGCGUACUCGGGGAGAUCCGUGCUUGAGCUCAAGGGGCAACACCGCUUCUGCCCCGUAGACAAGGGCGAAAGGAGUUUCGCCCAUUGCCCGACUAGGUGUGGUCCUGAUUGACCAUAGCACGGGCUGGAGUUCUUCAACCCAGUCUUUCCCGUGGCCCUUGAGCUUGUCAAAGGUUCUCGUCUUGAGCCCCUGCAGCACUUCUGCGUUGGCUCGCUCCGCUUGCCCGUUCCUCCUCGGAUGAGCAACGGACGCGAAGUGCAACUUGGUGCCCAUGCCCUCACAAUAGGCCUGAAACAUUGUGCUCGUGAACUGCAUGCCGUUGUCGAUGAUGAUGCCGUUAGGCACACCAAACCGGCACACAAUGCUUUUGAAGAACUUGAUCGCCGCCUGGGCGGUCACCUUCUGCACUGGUUCCACUUCUACCCACUUGGAGAACUUGUCGAUGGCCACAAACAAAUAUUCGUAACCACCAACCGCUCUCAGUAGCUUGCCGACGAUAUCGAGCCCCCAGACCGCGAACGGCCACGAGGAAGGGAUGACGUGUAGGGCCUGCGCCGACUGGUUGCUCUUCUUCGAGUGGAACUGGCACGCUUCGCACGUCUUCACCAGCCGCUCUGCGUCGGCCAGGGCCGUGGGCCAAUAGAAACCGUGCCGAAACGCCUUGCCGGCUAAGGCCCGGGAGGCCACAUGGUGUGAACAUGUGCCUCGGUGUAUCUCCUCCAGCAGCGCGCGGCCUUCGUCUUGCGGCACGCAGAUGAGCUUGACCCCGUUUGCUCGCCUGCGGUAGAGGUUCCCAUCCACCACAGUGCACAUUUUGGCUUGCCGCACUACUCGCUCCGCGGCAACGUCAUCUUCCAGGAGAGCCUCCCCUUUCAAGUAACGGGCGAUUUCCACCGCCCAGGGAGGGAUCUCCCUGCCAACGCAUGCCGCUAUAUCAGCGGCAUGGACCCCUGAUGUUGCGGGGGUUCCUUCGGUUGCCGGAGGGGCGUCCCCGGCAGCCGGCUCGGGGGCGACUGAAGGAGCCGCUUGCUUCUGGCAGAACACCCCUGCCGGAGGCUUCCGGCGCUCUGCUGCCAUCUUGGCCAGCUCGUCAGCAGUGAAGUUAUCCUUCCGCUUGACGUGCUCGAAUCGCAAACCUUUAAACUUACGUUCUAGCUUGCGGACUUCCUCCACGUGCGGUGCCAUCUGCGGGCAGUCGUAGUCCUUGUUCCCCUGGUUGAUCACGAGCUGGGAGUCCCCGCGAAUAACUAGGCGCUUGAUGUCGAGGGCGAUCGCCGCCCGUAACCCGGUGAGCAAGUCCUCGUACCGCCGUAUUAUUGGUGGAGUUCGGGAAAUUGAGCUGGACAGCGAACCUCAACUGGUCCCAUGUCGGUGACUCGAUGACGACCCCGGCGCCAGCUCCUUGGAGACUGAACGCGCCGUCGAAGUAGAGGACCCAGUGGUCCUCGUCCAGCUUGCCGGGCAGGCUGGUCUCCGGCUCAUUCUCUUCCACGCUCGUCGACGUCCAUUCCGCGACGAAGUCCGCCAAGGCUGUACUCUUGAUGCUCUUGGAGUUGGUGAAGUGGAGGUCCAACUCCGACAGCUCCAUCCUCCAUUCGGCCAACCUCCCGGUGGCUUCACUGUUGGUGAGGGCUCGCUCAAGGCACCACCGUGACGCGGUGCGCCUGAAAGUAGUGGCGCGGCUUGCGGGACGCAAGGAGAAUCCCCAAGAGGAGCUUCUGUACUUGCGGGUACCUUGUUCGCGCAUCGCGCAGCACCGUGCUGACGAAGUACGCCGGGUGCUGCACUAAUCGCUUCCGCGGUGCGGAAGCUGCCGGCUCGGGGGUGGUCCCUGGGCCCGAGGCGGUUGCUGGGGGCCGCUCAGCCCCCUGCCCCGCAGCCCCCCGGCUCGGAAGGGAUCCUUGGGGUAUGCACGAUUAAGAUUAGUAAAAUCUACACACAUGCGACGCUUGUUCCCUGCUUUAGGUACUACUACAGGGUUAGACAACCAAGUGGCGUACAGAAGUUCCCUGAUAGCCCCAGCAGCCUUGAGCUUGUCCACCUCCUACUUGAUGAAAUCUUUACGCUCUUGUGCUUGCCGCCGAAUCUUCUGCUUGACGGGGCGCGCGUCCGGGCGCACCGCGAGCCGAUGCUCAAUCACCUCCCUAGGAACUCCGGGAAGAUCUGAUGGUUCCCAAACGAACACGUCGGCAUUCUCCCGGAGGAAAGUGAUGAGGGCACUUUCCUAUUCGGCAGCGAGGUUCGCACCGACGAUGACGGUGCGUUCCUUGUUGCCGGCUUGGAGGGGCAGCUUCUUUACCUUGGCGGCCUCCUCCCGGAGCUUCUGCCCCUUGCCGGGGCGCGAGCUCGAGCCUGCGCUUCCCCCGGCAAGCUCUUGAUCGGCUUCUUCGUUGCCAGGGCAUCGCCCGGCGAGCUGUCGUCUCCGGCAGCGUCUUCAUCACCGGCGUCAGCCGUGGCGGCGGCCCUGACAACCUCGCCAACGCACCAGGCCGCGUCCUUGAGGUCGCAUCUGAUUGAGAGAACUCCAUAUACGGACGGCAUCUUCAUCACGCCAUAAGCACAAUGCGUAGCCGCCAUGAACUUGAUCAGCGCUGGCCGACCAAGGAUCCCGUUGUAGGGCAACGGGGUGUGUGCCACGUCGAACACUAUGUGUUCGGUCCUGAACGUUUCCCGAGACCCGAAGGUGACCGGCAACGUGAUGCGCCCCAGCGGGCGCAUGAUCCCAGGGUUCACCCCCCGGAACAGGUCGGUGGGCUCAGCUGCUCCAUUGGCAACUGGAGUUUCUCCACCAGCCUGGCGGACAGGAGGUUAAGCCCCGCUCCGUUGUCCACCAGUACCUUGGUCACCGUCAUAUUGCUGAUGAUUGGUGAGACGACGAAGGGUAUUACCCCUGAACCCAGCUGCCGCGCUGGGUGAUCGUCAACGCUAAAGGUGAUCGGCACAUGCCACCACCUCAGCGGCUGUUGCGGCUCCGCGUCCGGCAACAGCGCGCACACGUUGCGGGUGAGGCGCUUCACCGCGGCAUGGGAUGGGAGGGCAUAGGCUCCCCCAUGGAUGCAGGCGAUGCCGCGAGGCUCUUGGAAGCCCGGCUCGUCGCCACCAGUACAAUCGAACUCGCGCUGCUCCUCAGCGCGAGCCUUGUCGCGUCCCAGGGGAGGGAGCUCUCGUCCCGCGUGAGGCUGGCCGCGUCCCCCUUGGGGUUCGUCCCUGCCGGAACUGCCGCCGGCAGGCCUUGGCCCCGCUCUGGGGUCAUUCGGACAAUCUCGGGAGAGAUGCCCGAUGUCGCCGUAGUUGAAGCAGGCGCCAGCAGCACGGCGCUCCUCAUGGCGGUGCUCGCGCCGCUUCUUGAUCCCUUGCAGGAUGCAACAGUCCUGCGCGUCGUGGGUGGAGUUGUGGAUGGGGCAGCAGGACGGGUCACCCUGCUUGCCCCAGAACCACCACCCGGCGAGGUCUUCUUCGCAGGCCUCGUGGCAGGAGCCCCCGAGUCCGCAGCGAGAACCUGCUUCCCGCUGCGCUUGCGGGAACCCUUCUUCUGCGAACCAUCGCCUGGGCUCGUGGCAGCCAAGGCUGCCAGCUCGGGCGCUAGGCGCCCUUCCUCGGCCAUGGCGCACUUGUGCGCCAGGGCGUAUAGAUCCUGCGUCGUCCGGAUCCGAUGCGUGCUCAGCUUCUCGCGCAUCUUGGGGUCGCGGACGUUGAUGGCGAAGGUGUUGAUGAUGGCAGCUGCCUCCGCCUCUGGGAUAGAAUAGGAGAGAUUAGAGAAGCGGUUGACGACGCUCCGCAACGUCUCUCCUGGCUUCUGCACGAUGGUGUGCAGUUCCGCCAUGGUUCCCGGGCGCUUGUAGCCGCCCUAGAACGCGCUCACAAACUGCUCGUGCAGGUACGCCCAAGUGACGAUGAACCCGGCGGGCAGGUUGAGCAGGCAGGUUCUCGCUGAUCCUUUCAGGACCAUUGGGAACCAGUUGGUUCUGACCUUGUUGUCGGCGCCGAUGGCAUGCAUCCCCAACAUGUAGGUCAGGAAGAAAUCCUUGGGAUUCAUGGUCCUGUCGUACGUACCGAGCGUUGGUGCUCGGAACAUAUGGGGCCAUGUCACCCGCCGCAGCUCGCGCGUGAACGCGGUGUAGCCGUCCUCGAGGCCCAUGGGAGCGUCUUCCUGCUCCUGCGGGCGUUGGCGCUCUAUCUCGCGCCUGCGCCGGCGCUCUAAACGCUGGCAUAGAUCCUCUUGCUGGCGGGCAUCCCGCGUGAUGGUGGGUGAUGAGUCACCCCGCGUGACGGUGGGUGACGAGUCCGAGGACCCCUUCAGGCCCCCGUUUCCCUGGCCUCCCUGCGGAGGAGGGUUCUCCCCCUGCCGCGAGGCGCGGGGCGCGGAGACGCUCCGGGUUCUGCCUGUGGCCGGAGCCAACCGGGGCGCCCUCGCCUUGCGGCUGCUGAGCGGCUAGAGCGAGGAGCGCGUCCAACUCCUCGUCCCACAUCUCGUGCGCCGGCGUGCCUUGCUGCGGUUCAUACCGCACCAUGACCCACGCGGCGAUGAUGGCUUCCGCCGGGGUUCGUGCGGGAGGCAGCCGAUUUCCCGAACGGCUGCUGUCCGCUCUGGCCCCGGACGCCUCCGGGUGCGCGGGGUGUGAGCCCCCAGGCGUCACCCGCAACACGAUAUGCCCAUGGUGCCGCUGUUGCUGCUAAUCCUCGGCCCGCGACUCGACUCGCUGGCCAGUGCGGGCGGCACCAUGCCCGCUCGCGCGGCUGGCCCCGGCACUGGGGGCCGCCUGUCCCCUCAGCUGAUUGUCCGCAGAUGGCCGAGGAGGCGGGGGAGGCAGCUGUGAUUGCUGCACUCUCGAGGGCUUCGGGUUCUCCUGAGCCCCCGACGUGGGUCGCACGUCAUGCGACCGCGUGUGUGCCGCUGUGGCCUCACGCGAGUCUAUCCGAGGGUCACCAGCCCGCUUGGGAGGCAUGGUGGCCGGUCCCGUUGGCGAAGAAGACGAAGCCGACGUCGAUGCAAACACCGCUGCCGGUGGUCACCGGCGAGCUCUCCUCUAGCGACCCCUACCUGGCGCGCCAGAUGUCGUAGCACGGGGCUCCGACACCAGGGGCGUGCGGUCACGCCGAUCGUUCCGGCGAUCGCCGGCGUGGCCGAUGGGCCUACGCGACCUGCAAAGUAAUGUACACCGGAUGCAUGCAAGCUAAGAACACAUGCACACACGUUUUUACCCAGGUUCGGGCCACCCGAAGGUGUAAAACCCUACGUCCUACCUGUCUGAAUUGGUAUUGACUAUAGAUCAAGUGUUUACACGUUGCCGAGGGGAGGGUCCCCGGGCGUUCUCUUUCUGGCUAAGUGCUCUUCACUGCUUUAGGGUACUGCUAAUGGCCAAGGGUGAGUCCGUUUACCCGUCAGAUUGUGGAACCGUGGAACCCCUUGACCGCCGGCGGGAGUCCUCCUUUUAUACUGAAGAGGAUACCACAGGUGCCGCGGCGCAUGCAUUACAAGUGUCGAUCAGGGAGACCUGCAACUCCCCCUCGGUGAGCUGGUGGCGUGCAUGGGUGCCAACCUGCUGCUAGGGGUCUAAGACCCUAGAGGUAGGAUUGGACAUCCACUGUCACCUGAUUUGGACGGGGAAGGCCUCUCCUGUCGGCUCAUUUAAUGCGCCGUGUGCCUCACUCCUUGCCUUGGUGACACUGCGCAUCCGACGCCCGCCACGCGCCCGCGUGGCGCUGUUGCUCUGUCCGAUGGGCCCCACCUUUGUGGCGGGAGCCUGCGCCCGGGAACUCCUCCUCCCGUCAAGUCGCUCCCCGGGAAGCACCCAGGCCAAACACACCCCGGAACCCCCCUCCCGGGAAGCGGCUUCCCGGGAGCUGUCCAGCUCGAAGCCCCGCUAGCCCUUCCUGGCUGGUAGCUUGCCGGGCUGCUCAUGGCUGCUGCCUGGGACGAGAUCCUCCCGGGAACUCAAAGACGGGGCCCACACGUCGUGCAACGGUGGUACUCCGGGUGCCACUGGUGCGACAGGCCUGCACAACACAAAGAAAAACAGAAGAGAAGCCCCUCGGGCCGGAACUUCCGGCCCACGCAGCAGCAGCAAAAAAAGAGAGGGCCAAAGCUCCUCGGUCGCCGUCCCGUCUCCUCUCCGGCCCAUCUACACGCAAAUAAAAAAGAGGGGAAGGCAGGGCGGACCGCCGCCCGUGCUCGCCGGGUGUUCGACGAAACGCCCACACCCACGCCCGCACUCGUGCGCAUGCCGUUCCUGCACCGCGCCGUGCCCCCGUCCGCGCACGCGCUCGCGCACCUGCCGUGCCAGCGCCCCACUGUGCCCGUGUCCGCGCCAUGCCGCGAGCGCGCCCACGUCGUGCCAUGCUCGCACCGGAGUCGCGCCCUCGCCGCGCCGGGCCGCCCACGCGCCUACGCUGCGUCGUGCUCCUGCCUCGCCGCGCCCUCGCCCAUGCCGCGCCGUGUUCACGCCUCGCCAUGCCCAGGUUACACCAAGGCCGCGCCCGCGUCGCGCAGCGUCUCACCGCGCCGGGUCGCACAGAGGCCUCGCUCGCGUGAGACGUGCUCGCGUCCGCACCAACCCGUGCCCAUGCCCAUGCCAAGCCGCGACGCCCUGAAGGCAUUCGAAAGUAUGCCCGCAAGGCUCGCCGGAUCUAAAAAGCAUCAAAGCGAACGCCAUAAAGCUCCCCUCACCUUCACAAGAGCAAGAAAGGCGUGGCCGACAGCGAGGAUGUCCCGGAAGAACUUACAGGCACGACCGACCCCUCGCUCCAAGCGGCCUCGGGCGUGCUCCACGUCCCCACGAAGACUCGGUGAUGAGGAGCUUCCGCGCCCGCGCCUCGGCAACCAACACGAUCUCCGUCGAAGAAGGGAAGUAGCUAAUGCCCCUGCGGAGCUCCCUACUACACCAAGCCCUCGAAGGAAUGCCAGGCGCCGCCGAACGCGUCUUCGGCAUUGGGCAAGCCAAAGGAGUAUGGUGAGAAGCUCCACAGUGCCCAAGGUCUCCAUUUUAUAGGCCACCGGAGCCCCUAGGCAUCUGGGCCGGACCAAUGGUGCGGCGACACCUCGCCGUCCUUUUCACCAAGGAACAAGACAAGAAGAGGAAGAAAUGGGCAAGGGGAGCAUCCCCUUUUCCUAAAAGGAGGCCGGCCUGGUCGAAGAAGGGCGCCCCUCGCCCGGGCCCCACGUCCCGGCCGUGCCGGCGUCACCCCCGGUGACGAGCGUCACCUGCAAAGGCAAAAGCUUGGACCGAACGGUCCCUUCCCGUACGAAGGAGGAAGAUGACCUGUGGUUGUCCGAUCUAGGGUGCCUAGCCUCCCACGGUCGUCGGAUCUCCAUCACUUAAACCCGAACCAGUAUCGGGCCCAGCUGGGCCGUGGCCCAACAGUGGCCCAAGAAGCCGGCAUAAAAAAAAGGGAGGGGGGAACAGUGCGCCCGAAGGCGGCGCAGGUUCCGGCCCAGCUCACGUGGCCGGCUGGGUUCGAGAUUUUUGCAAAAAAGCCCGAGACUUUGGGAAAAUUGCCAAUAAAACCUCGGAAAAUUCGGGGAGGCCCGCAGGGCACCUCAUUUUUGCAAAAAAGUCCUCCGGGACACCGGAUUUCUCAUAGAGAGGUCCUAGGGUCCCGGUUUUUGCUAAAAUACCCCCCGAAAUUCGGUUUCUCGCAGGCAAAAUUGCCAUAGGCAUGGAAUUUCCCCGAAAUACCUCCAAGGCUCCUAUUCUCUGCAGGAAAACUGCCAAGUACCUAUGUUUCUCACAAGGAAGCUUGCCAGGGAAUUCAUCGAAGUCACCUUGACAAAUACAAGAACAAGGAAAAAGAAUCAAGAGUCCCGCAUCGAAGGUUGACCCGAUGGCAUUCUCAAUGCUUCCAGCUCAAGGGGGCUACUGUUGUAGUAAAAUAAAACCCUUAUAUGGGCCGAACCGUAAACCCUAUGUGGCGACGACUAAGUUAACAUUUCCCAAGCGUGAGUCAAGAUGCCCACGUGGCGUAGUACGUGGAAAAGGAAAACAAGUCAACAAGUCAAGUCUCUCAUGCCAUGAUCAAAGGAAGGAAUGAGUUAGAGUAUACAGUUCAUAUUCUUCCGUCAUUGAUAAACAGCUUGUUGGACAGUACUCAACACAAUUACCACAAAAUAUACAAACUCCGAAAUCAAUACUAUAAUUAAGCAAUUGUUUCCUUUUAACAGCCUUUUCAAAUCUCCAAUCCACAAUGGGGAGAUCUAUCGGACAUACGCGAACACAAACUUCACAAGCAAUACAUUUAUCAAAUUCAAAGUGGAUUCGUCCCCGAAAAAGCUCCGGUGUAAUUGAUUUUUCGUAAGGGUAGUGAAUCGUUAUAGGUAAACCAUUUGUGUGGGAUAAGGUAGUUAUGAAACUUUGACCAAUGUACCUUGUAGCACGUAUUGUUUGUUGGCCAUAACUCAUGAACCCAGUUACCAUAGGGAACAUAUUCUAAAUAUCUAUGAAAAAGGUAUGUUUCUUUCUCUUGUUUGAGAGAGCUUUUGUGUUGAAAAUAUUCUUACUGUUAUUCUAUUAUCUUAUUUAGAGUGAAACAAGUUGGGAAGAGGUUGUUAAUAAGAGAUUACCCAGGGAAAUAGGUAAAAGAAAUUUCCAUCCAAGAUUUAAUAACUGAUCGAUUCUCAUCCUGGGUAAAGUCCAUCUUAUUGUGAUAGAAAUGAAGAGAAAUAAAUAAGCUUUAGUUAAUGUAAUAAAGAUACCCAUUGUCAUUUCUAAAAUCCCAACUGCUUUAUUCAUUUGGAAAAAAUCAAAAAAGAAUAUAUAGGGAAUAGAUAAAUCCCACCCGCCUAAGUAGAGAACUGUUACAAAUAAAGAGGAAACUAAUAAAUUUAGGUAAGAAACAAGAUAAAAUAAACCAUAUUUUAUACCGGAAUAUUCGGUUUGAUAACCUGCUACUAAUUCUUCUUCUGCUUCUGGUAAAUCAAAGGGUAAUCUUUCACAUUCUGCCAAAGAAGAAAUUAGAAAAACCAGAAAACCUAUAGGCUGGCACCAAAUAUUCCACCCAAAAAAACCAUAUUUGGACUGUGCUUCAACUAUAUCAACUGUACUUGAACUGUUAGAUAAUCAUAGUCGAUGAUAACAUCACAGUUCCCACCGCUAUUCCAAAACCGUACAUGAAACCUUAGCUUCAUACGGCUUCUCUAUGAUCAGAAAAAGGGAAGGGCUGUUUCCUUUCGGUAUGAGCCUCUGGGGCGUAUAUAGAAUUAUUUUCUAGGCAAAAUAAAAUCGAUUGGAAAGCCCUAAAUUAGACCAAAGGAAUUCUGUCUGCUAGAAUAAGAGCGCUUCCGAAUUGAUCUCAUCCUUUAUAAUAUAAUGAAAAUUGUUCUUUGUUAAGUACUAACUUAAUCUUGGAAUAAAACACUCGUUAUAGGAAUUCUAUUAAUAAAUGGAAAGAAUUGGGCAUUAGUUCAGGAAGAAUUCUGUAUGAAUAUGGAUAGAGGAAGGAAAUAAUUAAUUUUUUUUUUUAUGUAUUGCAUUCUAUAUCUUUUGUCCUAUUCUUCUUUCCCCGGGGAGGGGUAUUUAAAAAGAAAAAAGAAAUAAAGGAUUAAUUCGUUCUUGAUAGCCAUUUCCUUAACAAGUGAAUGGAAACAUACUCUGGAUCGGAAUCCCAAGAAAGUACUACUUGAUCAUUUCCACUAAUUUCAAGUCCUUAUUAUGAUUCCUUUUAUGGGAAAAAUCUCUAAUUCUUAGAUUUCCCCAUUACUAAUCCUUUAUGUACUUUAGUGUUCCUGACCUUUCACUAACUUUUGAUGGAUUCUUUUUAUGUUUAUAAGUUAUAGUAAUAAUUAGGGAUAUUUUACUAAUGGAAUUCUAUAUCAUCCUUUCGUAAAUCCUUUAUUCUUGCCCGCUUCAAGACAUGAUGACUAAUUAAAAAAUAGCAAUCUUGGGGUAAAGAGUUUACACUACUUAUGUUUACUUCAAUUUUUUUCUUGUACGUAGGAAAUGAGAUUUUUUUUUUACUGCAAAUUAAUAAGCUGUUUUAUUUCACUCAUAUAGCUAUCUAGUUUAACUUACCAACCCGAAUACAGAAUAAGAAAAAGAAGAUAAAUAUUUAAUGGAUUUUAGAGGAAAAGGAUCCCAUUUUAACGAAUCACACGUAGAGAUAUUGCUAAUACACAAAAAGUUAAUGGUAUUUCAUAACUAAUCGAUUGAGCAGCAGCUCGUAGACUGCCUGAAAAAGAAUAUUUAUUAUUUGAGCUAUAUCCUGCCAUAAGAAGACCAAUAGGAGCAAUACUUGAAAUGGCAAUCCAUAAAAAAACACCAAUACUAAGAUCAGCUAAAGCAAAACGAUAUCCCAAAGGGAUCACUAAAAAACUUAAUAAAAUUGAUAUGACUGCUAUAGAGGGUCCAAUGCUAAAUAAAGGAAUAUCCCCUCGAGAUGGUAGAAUAUCCUCUUUUAAAAGUAGCUUAGUCCCAUCUGCUAUAGCUUGAAGUAGUCCUAGGGGACCGGCAUAUUCAGGACCAAUGCGUUGUUGGAUCGAAGCGGAUAUUUCUCUUUCUAACCAAACAAUUACGAGUACUUCUAUUGUGAUUCCCAAAAGAAGGGUCAAAAUGGGUAGAAUCCAUAUAAGUCCAUAGAUUUCUUUUAAUAAUUCUGAUUUCGAAAAAGAAUUGAGAGUUUCUACCUCUACCCUAUCUAUUAUCAUUUCAACGAUCAACUUCCCCCAUAAUGAUAUCUAUACUACCUAAUAUCGUCAUGAUAUCAGCCAAUUUCAUUUUUUUAACUAACUGAGGAAGAAUUUGCAAAUUAAUAAAACCGGGUGGACGAAUUUUCCAUCUCCAGGGAAAAAGGCCAUCAUCUCCUACUAGAUAAAUCCCUAAUUCACCUUUGGGGGCUUCUAUUCUUACGUAAAGCUCUUGCUUUGACAAUUCGAAAUUGGGUGAAGGUUUUUUACCAAGAAAUCGAUAUUCAAAAUCAUUACAUUCGGAAUUCUUUUCUUUCUUAAAGCGACGGACUUCUAAAUUUUCAUAAGGUCCUCCAGGAAUUUUCUCUACAGCUUGUUGAAUAAUUUUGAUAGAUUCUCUCAUUUCACCGAUUCGUACUAAAUAGCGAGCUAAUGAAUCUCCUUCUUUUUGCCAUUGGACUUUCCAACCAAAUUGGUUGUAAGACUCAUAAAGAUCUACUUUACGAAGAUCCCAUCGUAUUCCAGAAGCUCGUAACAUGGGUCCUGAUAAGCCCCAAUUUACUGCUUCUUCUCCGCUAAUAAAACCUACUCACUCAACUCGUUCCAAAAAAAUAGGAUUCUGUGUAAUAAGUUGUUGAUAUUCAACAACUCCCCGUAAAAAAUAAUCACAGAAAUCUAAGCAUUUCUCGAUCCAUCCAUAAGGUAGAUCGGCGGCUACUCCUCCGAUGCGAAAGUAAUUGUGCAUCAUUCGCAUACCUGUAGCAGCUUCAAAUAGAUCGUAUAUUAACUCUCUCUCUCUAAAAAUGUAGAAAAAAGGAGUCUGUGCGCCGAGAUCCGCCAUAAAAGGCCCAAGCCAUAAUAAGUGAGAAGCUAUACGGCUCAACUCUAACAUAAUUACCCUAAUAUAGCUGGCUCUUUGGGGUAUUUGAAUAUUUUCUAAAAAUUCUGGUGCAUUUACCGUUAUUGCUUCUGUAAACAUAGUAGCUAAAUAAUCCCACCGUGUUACAUAAGGUAAGUAUUGUAUAAUAGUUCGGUUUUCCGCGAUUUUUUCCAUUCCUCUGUGUAAAUACCCUAAUAUGGGUUCACAAUCAAUAACAUCUUCACCAUCGAGAGUAACGAUCAGUCGAAGAACACCAUGCAUUGAUGGGUGUUGAGGGCCCAUAUUGACUAUCAUGAGAUCUUUUCUUGUAAGCGGUAGACUCAUAUCCUUUCUUCCUUAAUUCGUUAUUCCAUGAAUUCCUCAAAACGAGGCUCAUCAAAAUGCAAAAUCUAAGACUACUAUAAGGCUACUAAAUAAAAUAAGUAAAAAAAUUCGAACGAUUAAAUUACUGCUCCCGAAUAUUCAAUUGACUGAUUAAUUUCUUAUAACGUACUCUAUUUUUCUUUGCCAAAUAAGCCAGCAAACGUCGACGUUUUCCCAAAAGUCUUCGUAGACCUCUUUCAGAUGAAAAAUCUUUUUUGUGUAAUUCCAAAUGUGAAGCAAGUCUCCGUAUCUUAUUGGUGAAAUUGAAUACUUGAAAUUCAACAGAACCUUUUUUUUCUUCUUUUUCUUCUUUAACCAUAAAUCCAAAGAUUUUUCUACCUCCUUCCUUUUUCAUGUAUUUUUCUAAUCAGGAAAAAUAAAACAUUAUGUCAGUUAUUUUGAAGUUAUUCUAAUCUUGUACACACAAAAAUUUGCAAUUAUUCAUCUACUACUGGAAUUUGGAUUUAUUUUAUCGAUGCAAAUUGGAUUUGGAUAGAAGGGUACAUUCUCUUAUUUUAGAUAGAAGAAACAUUUCUUCUAUCUAAAAUAAAAGAAUUUUGCUGAUUUUUUUAUUGCUAUAUCCAAUUUAUGGAAUUGAUACACCAUUUAAUUGAUAUCAUUUAGCAAAAUGAAACAUAGCAUAUGCAUCCAUCUUUGGGCUCGAGAAUUUCACGGGAUAGAGAUAUGGUAACUCGAAAUGAAUUGUGGAUACAUCUGUAUCCUUAACAUACUGAAACGAUUGCCAUUAUUUGUAUCAAACCAAUAGCGAUUCAUACAAGCUAAAUCUUCUAAUCAAUGGUGGGCCACUAAUGAAUUUUUUUGCAUAUGUAUUAAGACGCUUGGCCUGAUUUCAAAAUUGUCCAGAGUUUUAUAUGUUGUUUUCAUUGGAAAAUGACGGGUCUCCUUCCAUAACUUUCCAAUUACGAGUACGAGAAUUGAAAGAGAUGAAAAUUCUCAAUUAUCUACGGCGUCUAGGAGAUAGAUAGAAUAUUUUCAGGAACAAGAAAAUCGGAAGAAUCCUUCUCUCUAUUCACUACCAUUCCGCGUCUUCGACUUCUAUUAGUUUCUUUUCUUCUUUAAUGCAAUAGCUAUAGUUUGAUAUAAGAAUCUAUUUCUCAAAGUAAUGGAAACCAUUCUCUUAUAGGAAAUGGCUCGCAAAUCGCUAUUCCACCUUUUAGGUAUCGUGAAAAGUGAUACCUGUGAAGAUCGUGCAUUUCAGUCAAAUUCAGAUCCGUUUGUUUUUUCAGUCCAUGAUAUAACCAAAUUGGAUGGAUCUUCCACCCGUUUAGCUAAGAAAGAAUAGAUACAGAGGUGGAUAAUACAUCGAUAUGAAGAUCAUGAGCUGCCCCAUAAUGAAACCGCCAGUAGUCGCGAAUAUCCCCUUCUUCCCUAAUCCAAGAUUGGAGAAAGAAGAUCUAAGAGGGCCCUAUGGGGAAUGUGGUCAGAAAUCCUUAAUAGAGUCCGACCACAACGACCGAAUUAAUUAUCCUCAUCGAGAAACUUAGACUACUAAAUGGAAAAGAUUUGAAAAUCAUGGCAUGGGUCUCCUUUUUUUCUUUCUUUAGAGUUUUCUAUAUGCAGAAUUUCUCGAUGUUUUCAUGAGAAUUUCUUGACUUUCCAUAUAUAGAAAGAGAUAGACUAUAAAUGACAUCUCAUAUGUCAAUAAGACCAAAGGGAUGGAUAUUAAAUGAUAGGAAGUGCUAGGAAGUGAAAUAGAAUGAAAUAGAGCCACUUUGGGCUUCCCUAUGAAAUGAGGCAUGGAACGGAGCCACUAUGAAGAAAUUCUGGGAGUUACGAAAGAAGCUUCGGACCCAUAUUGUUCAUGGGUUGAGAGCGGGAGUUGAACCCUAGGAGGGGGAAUCCCCCCUUGUUCCUCAGUAGCUCAGUGGUAGAGCGGUCGGCUGUUAACUGACUGGUCGUAGGUUCGAAUCCUACUUGGGGAGAUUUGAUUCAUUCUUUAAUGUAAGAAUAAAGAAUUGAAUUAAAGGGCUUGCUUUGACCCUUAGGAGUAGGUAACCCGUUCGCUAUCCUUGUUUCUAUUUCUAUUGCAUUCUAUCUCAUUGUAUCACAUUCUGUUCUACGAUUCCACUUCGACAAAUGUGAUCUCUGACCGCGUGCUUGUUGAAGAAUGAGCCGGCGACUCAUAGGCAGUGGCUUGGUUAAGGGAACGUAACCCACCGGAGCCGUAGCGAAAGCGAGUCUUCAUAGGGCGAUUGUCAUUGCUUAUGGACCCGAACCUGGGUGAUCUAUCCAUGACCAGGAUGAAGCUUGGAUGAAACUAAGCAGAGGUCCGAACCGACUGAUGUUGAAGAAUCAGCGGAUGAGUUGUGGUUAGGGGUGAAAUGCCACUCGAACCCAGAGCUAGCUGGUUCUCCCCGAAAUGCGUUGAGGCGCAGCAGUUGACUGGACAUCUAGGGGUAAAGCACUGUUUCAGUGCGGGCUGCGCGAGCGGUACCAAAUCGAGGCAAACUCUGAAAACUAGAUAUGACCCCAAAAUAACAGGGGUCAAGGUCGGCCAGUGAGACGAUGGGGGAUAAGCUUCAUCGUCGAGAGGGAAACAGCCCGGAUGCAUACCAUGAUUUUUCUGUCUAUCAAUAACUGCAUGCAUUGCACGGUGAAUGUGAAGAAGUAAGCCAUUGUCGCGGCAAUAAUGAGCCAAAGUAGUAUUUGCGGUGAAUCCCCCAGUUAAGUAGUCAUGCAUUACAAUAGGAACACCUAAUUCUCUCGCAAAAACAGCUCUCUUCAUCAUUUCUUCACAUGUACCCGCAGUUGCAUUCAAGUAAUGCCCCUUGAUUUCACCGGUUUCCGCCUGUGAUUUAUAAAUAGCUUCGGCACAAAAGACAAAACGAUCUCUCCAGCGCAUAAAUGGUUGUGAGUUUACGUUUUCAUCAUCUUUGGUAAAAUCAAGUCCACCACGUAGACACUCAUAACACGCUCUACCGUAAUUUUUUGCAGAUAAUCCCAAUUUUGGCUUAAUAGUACAUCCCAAUAAAGGACGACCAUACUUGUUCAACUUAUCUCUUUCCACUUGGAUACCGUGAGGCGGGCCUUGGAAAGUUUUUGAAUAAGUAGGGGGAAUUCGUAGAUCCUCCAGACGUAGAGCACGUAGGGCUUUGAAACCAAAUACGUUACCUACAAUGGAAGUAAACAUGUUAGUAACGGAACCCUCUUCAAAUAGAUCUAAUGGAUAAGCUACAUAACAGAUCCAUUGACUGUCUUCCCCAGGAACAGGCUCGAUGUGAUAGCAUCGUCCUUUGUAACGAUCAAGACUAGUAAGUCCAUCAGUCCAAACAGUUGUCCAUGUACCGGUAGAAGAUUCGGCAGCUACUGCAGCCCCUGCUUCUUCGGGCGGAACCCCAGGUUGAGGAGAUACUCGGAAUGCUGCCAAGAUAUCAGUAUCCUUGGUUUCAUACUCCGGGGUGUAGUAAGUCAAUCUAUAAUCUUUAACACCAGCUUUAAAUCCAACACUUGCUUUAGUUUCUGUUUGUGGUGACAUAAGUCCCUCCUUACAACUCUUGAAUUAAGAAUUCUCACAAUAACAAGGUCUACUCGAUGUGAAUUAGGCGUAAAUGAAACUUUAGCAAAAAUCUCAUAAAAAAAAGAGAUAUUCAAUUAAUAGCAACUCAUUACAGAAAAUUGAGGGCAUGCUUAAGUUAAUUAAUAUUUUUCAUUCAUAUAUAAUGCGUACACCCUGUGUAUGUUCUAUCCUAUAGGAAUUCGAUAGGAAUUGAGUUGUUGUUAUGGUAAGUUAACACCGUUCGUUAUUAAACCAAGGAUUUGAUUUAACAAAUCCAUCAUUAUUGUAUACUCUUUGAUAGAUAUAGCGCAACCCAAAUCAAUCCUUAACCUUUUUUUUUACAAAUUAUUAAAGGGCCCCUUUCUUAUUUUGAAAAGAAAUACCUAACUAAAUACUAAGAAAAUUUUCUGUUGACAGCAAUCUAUGCUUCACAGUAGUAUAUAUUUUGUAUAGCGAAGUCCUAGAUAGGAAAGUAGAGUAGGCACAGAUCCUCCACAAAAGGAAAAAUCUAUCUUAUGAAAAAAAGAUUGAUUGAACUUUCCAACGGCCUCAUUCCACGAGUAAAGGGUUGAAAGGGAUUCGCUUGGGCAACGAAAUCAAGUCUUGUUCCCCUUUUUUCUCUUAUUGAAUUAACUAAUUGAUUUCCUUUUUACUUUUGGAUUUUUGGAUAUUUUUUUGGAUUUGGUAUUAUUCAACAAGAAAAAAAAAAUUCGACAAAUUCCUUUUUUUUUAUUAUGUGAUAAUUAUGAGAACCAAUCCUACUACUUCUCGUCCCGGGGUUUCCCCAAUUGAAGAAAAAAGUACAGGCCGUAUCGAUCAAAUUAUUGGACCCGUGCUGGACGUCACUUUUCCCCCCGGUAAGUUACCUUAUAUUUAUAACGCUUUGGUAGUCCAGAGUAGAGACACUGCCGAUAAGCAAAUUAAUGUGACUUGUGAGGUACAACAAUUAUUAGGAAAUAAUCGAGUUAGAGCUGUAGCUAUGAGUGCUACAGAUGGGUUGAUGAGAGGAAUGGAAGUGAUUGACCCAGGAGCUCCUCUCAGUGUUCCGGUCGGCGGAGCUACUCUCGGGCGAAUUUUCAACGUUCUUGGGGAGCCUGUUGACAAUUUGGGUCCUGUAGAUAGUAGUGCAACGUUCCCUAUUCAUAGAUCUGCGCCUGCCUUUAUCGAGUUAGAUACGAAAUUAUCCAUCUUUGAAACAGGUAUUAAGGUCGUCGAUCUUUUAGCUCCUUAUCGACGUGGAGGAAAAAUAGGACUAUUUGGGGGGGGUGGAGUAGGUAAAACAGUACUCAUCAUGGAAUUGAUCAACAACAUUGCUAAAGCUCAUGAGGGUGUAUCCGUAUUUGGUGGAGUAGGGGAAUGGACUCGUGAAGGAAAUGAUCUUUAUAUGGAAAUGAGGGAAUCCGGAGUAAUUAAUGAAAAAAAUAUUGAGGAAUCAAAGGUAGCUCUAGUCUAUGGCCAAAUGAAUGAACCACCGGGAGCUCGUAUGAGAGUUGGUUUAACUUCCCUAACUAUGGCGGAAUAUUUCCGAGAUGUUAAUAAGCAAGACGUGCUUUUAUUCAUCGAUAAUAUCUUUCGUUUUGUUCAAGCAGGAUCGGAGGUAUCCGCUUUAUUAGGGAGAAUGCCCUCCGCGGUGGGUUAUCAACCUACUCUUAGUACAGAAAUGGGUUCUUUGCAAGAAAGAAUUGCUUCUACUAAAAAGGGAUCUAUAACUUCGAUCCAAGCGGUUUAUGUACCUGCGGACGAUUUGACUGACCCUGCUCCUGCCACAACAUUUGCCCAUUUGGAUGCUACUACCGUACUUUCCAGAGGAUUAGCUUCCAAGGGUAUUUAUCCAGCAGUAGAUCCUUUAGAUUCAACCUCAACUAUGUUAUAGCCUCGGAUCGUUGGCAACGAACAUUAUGAAACUGCGCAAAGAGUUAAGGAAACUUUACAACGUUACAAGGAACUUCAGGACAUUAUCGCAAUUCUUGGAUUGGAUGAAUUAUCGGAGGAGGAUCGUUUAACUGUAGCAAGAGCGCGAAAAAUUGAGCGUUUCUUAUCACAACCGUUCUUUGUAGCAGAAGUUUUUACUGGUUCUGCAGGAAAAUAUGUUGGUCUUGCAGAAACAAUUAGGGGAUUUCAACUAAUCCUUACUGGAGAAUUAGAUGGCCUACCCGAGCAGGCUUUUUAUUUGGUGGGUAACAUCGAUGAAGCUAGCACGAAAGCUAUAACCUUAGAAGAGGAGAACAAAUCGAAGAAAUGAAAUUAAAUCUUUAUGUACUGACUCCUAAGCGAAUUAUUUGGGAUUGUGAAGUGAAAGAAAUCAUUUUAUCCACUAAUAGUGGUCAAAUUGGGGUAUUACCAAACCAUGCCCCCAUUAACACAGCAGUAGAUAUGGGUCCUUUGAGAAUACGCCUCCUCAACGACCUAUGGUUAACGGCGGUUCUGUGGAGCGGUUUUGCGAGAAUAGUUAAUAAUGAGAUCAUUAUUUUAGGAAAUGAUGCGGAACUGGGUAGUGAUAUUGAUCCGGAAGAAGCUCAACAGGCACUUAAAAUAGCCGAAGAUAACUUGAGUAAAGCUGAGGGUACGAAAGAAUUGGUUGAAGCGAAACUAGCUCUCAGACGAGCUAGGAUACGAAUUGAGGCUGUCAAUUGGAUUCCCCCAUCCAAUUGAAGACAAUCC